rnacentral:rRNA from 1 species
UGCAGAGGUCUCAAGCGUUGUUCGGAUUCAUUGGGCGUAAAGGGCGCGUAGGCGGCCUUCUAAGUCGAACGUGAAAUCCCUGGGCUCAACCCAGGAACUGCGUCCGAGACUGGAAGGCUUGAAUCCGGGAGAGGGAUGUGGAAUUCCAGGUGUAGCGGUGAAAUGCGUAGAUAUCUGGAGGAACACCGGUGGCGAAGGCGGCAUCCUGGACCGGUAUUGACGCUGAGGCGCGAAAGCCAGGGGAGCAAACGGG